CUACAAGGUUGAUAGGCUGGGUGUGGAAGCACAGCAAUGUGUUGAGAUAACCAGUACUAAUUGCCCGUGAGGCUUGACCAUAUAACACCCAAGGGGUU
rnacentral:rRNA from 1 species